UACAGAGGGUGCAAGCGUUAAUCGGAAUUACUGGGCGUAAAGGGUGCGUAGGUGGAUAAAUAAGUUAGACGUGAAAGCCCCGGGCUCAACCUGGGAUGGUCGUCUAAUACUGUUUGUCUAGAGUAUGGUAGAGGGUGGUAGAAUUUCCGGUGUAGCGGUGAAAUGCGUAGAUAUCGGAAGGAAUAUCAAUGGCGAAGGCAGCCACCUGGGCCAAUACUGACACUGAGGCACGAAAGCAUGGGGAGCAAACAGG
rnacentral:rRNA from 1 species